GCAUGCCUAAUACAUGCAAGUCGAACGCACUCUCGUUUAGAUUGAAGGAGCUUGCUCCUGAUUGAUAAACAUUUGAGUGAGUGGCGGACGGGUGAGUAACACGUGGGUAACCUGCCCUAAAGUGGGGGAUAACAUUUGGAAACAGAUGCUAAUACCGCAUAAAACCUAACACCGCAUGGUGUAGGGUUGAAAGAUGGUUUCGGCUAUCACUUUAGGAUGGACCCGCGGUGCAUUAGUUAGUUGGUGAGGUAAAGGCUCACCAAGACCGUGAUGCAUAGCCGACCUGAGAGGGUAAUCGGCCACACUGGGACUGAGACACGGCCCAGACUCCUACGGGAGGCAGCAGUAGGGAAUCUUCCACAAUGGACGAAAGUCUGAUGGAGCAACGCCGCGUGAGUGAAGAAGGUUUUCGGAUCGUAAAACUCUGUUGUUGGUGAAGAAUGUAUCUGAUAGUAACUGAUCAGGUAGUGACGGUAUCCAACCAGAAAGCCACGGCUAACUACGUGCCAGCAGCCGCGGUAAUACGUAGGUGGCAAGCGUUGUCCGGAUUUAUUGGGCGUAAAGCGAGCGCAGGCGGUUUCUUAAGUCUGAUGUGAAAGCCUUCGGCUCAACCGAAGAAGUGCAUCGGAAACUGGGAAACUUGAGUGCAGAAGAGGACAGUGGAACUCCAUGUGUAGCGGUGAAAUGCGUAGAUAUAUGGAAGAACACCAGUGGCGAAGGCGGCUGUCUGGUCUGUAACUGACGCUGAGGCUCGAAAGCAUGGGUAGCAAACAGGAUUAGAUACCCUGGUAGUCCACG
rnacentral:rRNA from 1 species